rnacentral:lncRNA from 1 species
CAAUAAUUCAAAUAAUGUAAGUAAAAGAUUCAACACCUAACAUGACAAAAAUGAAGAAAAAAAUAAGUCAUAUAUUAAAUAAAGGAAUAGUAUUAUAGAUUAAGAUAAUAAUUCUUGCCUCUUUUGGCAUAUUUUAGAAAUAAAAUACAAAUAAUCUCAGAGCCAACAAGCAGUAUUCCUAUUAGGAAGAGCAGUCCAUUUAGGGCUUCACAGACUGAUCACAACAUUUUAGGAUGAUAUAAAUAUUUACAGGAUUUUCUGUAAUUAGGAGAAUUAGCCCUUUCCCCUACCUUCAUUCCCUAACACACUCACAACACACACCAAAGCUGUCUGGGCUAGUCUGGGCAAGAUGUUUCAGGAUAUUUCACAAUACCCUCUUAGAAUAUAUCCUCUGGAAUAAAGGGAAAUUCUUUGCAAGUUGUUUUAGAUGCUGAGUCUAAAAUUCUCAUUUAUAGAUGUUGAAACUCAGCAAGAGCCUGUGGGGUCCUCCCAGGUACCAAGGCCCCUCCAUGUCCCUUGCCUCUUGUUUUUAGAAAAACUGAAGUCUCUCAGGCCUCCAUGAGUCUCAAAACAGUAGGCUCACGCAGUUAAUGAUUAGGAAAAUGGAGUCACAGAAUCUUUAGUUCCUCCCUGAAGGACUUGGAUAACAGUGUCUGGCGCACAUUCCUGAGUUGUGUUACAGAUAGCGUAACUGCCACCAAAGGGGAAACGCUACCUGCUUGCUGGCCAGACUGCAGUCAUGGCGCGAGUGGCUCCAUCUUGAGCAGUCCCGCGGCCUCACAGCCGGCCUCACAGUCCUGCGGCCUCACAGCCGGCCUCACAGUCCCGCGGCCUCACAGCNGGCCUCACAGUCCUGCGGCCUCACAGCUGGCCUCAGGAGGACAGGAACAAACUGACCCUGGAGCUGAGAUCACCUCCUUCACUAGUUAUUGUGGGGUUUUAUCCUCUAGUCCAGGGGAUUAUCAUCGGCACAAUGACUCUUUGCAAAGAAUUACUUUUUUAAAAGUGGGUAAUGAGAUGCAGCUUUAGAAUCUCAGCUGGCACUUAAGAGAACCCAUAAAGCACCUUGUCAGAUCCUUCCACUCUAAGAAUCCUUCAACACCCAUGCUCAGCUUGAAGAAGUGCCAGAAGAGGGACCUUUGUCCCUUUUUCAUAGACAUGGAAGGGAAAUCGGACAGCAGGGACUGUAACUGAGGUGGUGAGACUGUGACUAGGGACUCUCGGGCCCUCAGCAUUGCCCAGCUCUAGGUCUUCGCUAGCAUAUGGCUGUGAUCUUGUGCUGACGACGCUGACUUCCAUCCCAGUUCACCAGAUACAGAGCUUCGUUUGUGGCUGAUGGACAGCACUGUUGGAGCAAAUCAAGCCUGAAGAUGAGCUGCUCCCUGGUCUUUACCCUUGUUCCUUGCUCUUCAGGACUAAUCCCAAGUGAA